CGAGGACGAACGCUGGCGGCGUGCUUAACACAUGCAAGUCGAACGGAACUUAUUGGAUCAAGACUUCGGUCAAGUGAAUUUAAGUUUAGUGGCGGACGGGUGAGUAACGCGUGAGUAACCUGCCUUUCAGAGGGGGAUAACAGUUGGAAACGACUGCUAAUACCGCAUAACGUAUCGGAACCGCAUGAUUCUGAUACCAAAGCUGAGGCGCUGAAAGAUGAGCUCGCGUCCAAUUAGGUAGUUGGUGAGGUAACGGCCCACCAAGCCGACGAUUGGUAGCCGGACUGAGAGGUUGAACGGCCACAUUGGGACUGAGACACGGCCCAAACUCCUACGGGAGGCAGCAGUGGGGAAUAUUGCACAAUGGGCGAAAGCCUGAUGCAGCGACGCCGCGUGAACGAAGAAGUAUUUCGGUAUGUAAAGUUCUAUCAGCAGGGAAGAAAAUGACGGUACCUGACUAAGAAGCACCGGCUAAAUACGUG
rnacentral:rRNA from 1 species